rnacentral:rRNA from 1 species
GAUAAACGCUGGCGGCGCACAUAAGACAUGCAAGUUGAACGGACUUAAUCGAAAUAUUUAUAUUUUGAAGCGGUUAGUGGCGGACUGGUGAGUAACGCGUAAGGAACCUGCCUAUUAGAGGGGAAUAACAGUGAGAAAUCAUUGCUAAUACCGCAUAUGCCAUAGAUAUCACAUGAUAACAGUGGGAAAGGAGCAAUCCGCUAAUAGAUGGCCUUGCGUCUGAUUAGAUAGUUGGUGGGGUAACGGCCUACCAAGUCGACGAUCAGUAGCCGGACUGAGAGGUUGAACGGCCACAUUGGGACUGAGAUACGGCCCAGACUCCUACGGGAGGCAGCAGUCGGGAAUAUUGCGCAAUGGAGGAAACUCGGACGCAGUGACGCCGCGUAUAGGAAGAAGGUUUUCGGAUUGUAAACUAUUGUCGUUAGGGAAGAGAAAGGACAGUACCUAAGGAGGAAGCUCCGGCUAACUACGUG